AUGGCUGUCGUCAGCUCGUGUCGUGAGAUGUUGGUUUAAGUACCGCAACGAGCGCAACCCCUAUGUCCUGUUGCCACGGAGAACACGUUUCUCCAGCACUCUGGACAGACUGCCUCAUUUGAAUGAGGAGGAAGGUGGGGAUGACGUCAAGUCAGUAUGGCCCUUACGCCCAGGGCUGCACACGUGCUACAAUGCCCGGCAUAAUGGGAAGCGAAAUCGCGAGAUGGAGCCAAUCCCCAAAACCGGGCCCAGUUCGGAUUGGAGUCUGCAACUCGACUCCAUGAAGUUGGAAUCGCUAGUAACGGCGCAUCAGCUACGGCGCCGUGAAUACGUUCCCAGGCCUUGUACACACCGCCCGUCACAUCAUGAAAGCCGGGAGCGCCCGAAGUCCGCGAUUACACGGCCGACGGUGAACUUGGUGAUUGGGAUGAAGUCGUAACAAGGUAGCCGUAGGGGAACCUGCGGCUGGAUCACCUCCUUUCUAGGGAGUACUGGGGCAAGCUUGCUUGCCUUAGACGGUCGAACAUCCGUGCUUGCAUGGAUGAUUGGUGGAUGCUGUUGCACAAUUCAGUUUUCAAGGAGCUGAUUGCUCUUUGUCAGGAUCGGAUAAUUAGGCAAGCCUGCAGGCUUGCAAUCUGGGGCUGUAGCUCAGUUGGUAGAGCGCCUGCUUUGCAAGCAGGAUGUCAGGAGUUCGAGUCUCCUCUGCUCCACCAGAAGGGCCUGUAGCUCAGUUGGUUAGAGCACGCGCUUGAUAAGCGCGGGGUCGCUGGUUCGAGUCCAGCCUGGCCCACCAUCCGAACCGUUAUGAAUUUUGGCGGGGUCGCUUAGGCGGCUGCGCUUGGUUCUUUGAAAUCCUUGCAUGGAUAAGACAUUGUAAAAUGUAAUACCGUGCAACUUUGUUGGCGCCAUUAGAGUAUAUUUAAUGGUAAAUACAUUUGAUAAGCUACUAAGGGCACAAGGUGAAUGCCUUGGUGCCAGGAGGCGAUGAAGGACGCGGUUACCUGCGAUAAGCCUAGAGGGAGACGGAAGCAGUCAUUAUUACCCUAGGAUUUCCGAAUGGGGAAACCCGG
rnacentral:sRNA from 1 species